CCUACGGGUGGCAGCAGUGAGGAAUAUUGGUCAAUGGGCGGAAGCCUGAACCAGCCAAGUCGCGUGAGGGAUUAAGGCCCUGCGGGUCGUAAACCUCUUUUGCCGGGGAGCAGAGGUCCGGACGUGUCCGGGCCGGGAGAGUACCCGGAGAAAAAGCAUCGGCUAACUCCGUGCCAGCAGCCGCGGUAAUACGGAGGAUGCGAGCGUUAUCCGGAUUUACUGGGUGUAAAGGGAGCGUAGACGGCUAAUCAAGUCAGAAGUGAAAACCCAGGGCUCAACCUUGGGACUGCUUUUGAAACUGAGUAGCUAGAGUGCAGGAGAGGUAAGCGGAAUUCCUAGUGUAGCGGUGAAAUGCGUAGAUAUUAGGAGGAACACCAGUGGCGAAGGCGGCUUACUGGACUGUAACUGACGUUGAGGCUCGAAAGCGUGGGUAUCAAACAGGAUUAGAUACCCCAGUAGUC
rnacentral:rRNA from 1 species